rnacentral:rRNA from 1 species
UACGUAGGGUGCGAGCGUUGUCCGGAAUUAUUGGGCGUAAAGAGCUCGUAGGCGGUGUGUCGCGUCGGCCGUGAAAACCUGCAGCUUAACUGUGGGCUUGCGGUCGAUACGGGCAUCACUGGAGUUCGGCAGGGGAGACUGGAAUUCCUGGUGUAGCGGUGAAAUGCGCAGAUAUCAGGAGGAACACCGGUGGCGAAGGCGGGUCUCUGGACAGUUCCUGACGCUGAGGCACGAAGGUCAGGGGAGCAAACGGG